rnacentral:tRNA from 1 species
GGCCGGGUGGCGAAAUGGUAUACGCAUCGCACUCAAAAUGCGACGUUCUUACGGACAUGAGAGUUCGAAUCUCUCCCCGGCUACCA